rnacentral:rRNA from 1 species
UAAAAGUAAGCAAGGGCGCAUGGCGGAUGCCUUGGCUCUCGGAGGCGAUGAAGGACGUGAUAAGCUGCGAUAAGCUGCGGGUAGGUGCAAAUGACCUUUGAUCCGCGGAUUUCCGAAUGGGACAACCCAAUAUCUUGAAGAGGUAUUAUCCU